UUAUAUAUAUAGACAUGGAAACAUAUUGCCAAUGUAAUUAAUUUUUUGAGCUUGCAUUUACCAUCCAAACAGCUACUCCGAUUGAUUAAUUGAGACUGUAUUAUGUAUACUGAGAAUCUGAGGCUGGAAUGAUUUGUGCAUAGACUGUUUAUGAAUCCUAUUCUUCUCAAACAACUAGCAAGACCAUUAGAUUUGAGUUAUAAAUGGCUCUGGGAAGCUAACACUUUGAAGGAAGCUCUUGAGUCCAACAAUACAAUUUCAGAUAAUGAUGUAGCACAGACCAUCAGGUGUGUGUGUUGCAGACCAUCACUCAUUUAUUUAUGGAAUGUGCAUUAAUUCA